rnacentral:rRNA from 1 species
UACGGAGGAUGCGAGCGUUAUCCGGAUUUAUUGGGUUUAAAGGGUGCGGAGGCGGAUCGUUAAGUCAGUGGUCAAAUUGAGGGGCUCAACCCCUUCCCGCCAUUGAAACUGGCGAUCUUGAGUGGAAGAGAAGUAUGCGGAAUGCGUGGUGUAGCGGUGAAAUGCAUAGAUAUCACGCAGAACCCCGAUUGCGAAGGCAGCAUGCCGGCUUCCUACUGACGCUGAAGCACGAAAGCGUGGGGAUCGAACAGG